GAUGGUGUAGCUCAGCGGUUAGAGCGGUUGACUGUUAAUCAACGGGUCGAUGGUACAAAUCCAUCCACCAUCGCCA
rnacentral:tRNA from 1 species